AGGGUAAAUAUCACUUUUUGGCCCAUCGUUUGAGCGUUUUCUCAAAUAUAUCCCACCCUAAGCAUAUUUACAAAACAAUACCCAUCGUUUCAAUUUUUUCUUAUUUGUGGCCCGCAAAAAUUUUCCGGCUACCGGUAAAUGACGUGUUCCGGCCAAGUGCCAUGUAGCUAUUACACGUCAGCAUUUAAAAAAAAGAAAAAAGAAAAGAAAAUACACAUCAUAAGUUAAAAGUGAGAAAAACGGUUCAUCUCCUAAUUCUUUCUAAAUUUCUCUCUUCAGCGCGCCAAACCUCCAUAGUCUUCAACCUCCAUCGUCUUCAACCUCCACCGUCUUCAACCUCCAUCGUCUUCAACCUCCACCUUCGAUUUCUCCCUUCCCCCCGCCUACC
rnacentral:lncRNA from 1 species